rnacentral:rRNA from 1 species
AACGAACGCUGGCGGCAGGCCUAACACAUGCAAGUCGAGCGCGCCCUUCGGGGUGAGCGGCGGACGGGUGAGUAACGCGUGGGAACGUGCCCUUUUCUACGGAAUAGCCUCGGGAAACUGAGAGUAAUACCGUAUACGCCCUUUGGGGGAAAGAUCUAUCGGAAAAGGAUCGGCCCGCGUUGGAUUAGGUAGUUGGUGGGGUAAUGGCCUACCAAGCCGACGAUCCAUAGCUGGUUUGUGAGGAUGAUCAGCCACACUGGGACUGAGACACGGCCCAGACUCCUACGGGGGGCAGCAGUGGGGAAUCUUAGACGAGGGGGGCAACCGUGAUCUAGCCAUGCCGCGUGAGUGAUGAAGGCCUUAGGAUUGUAAAGCUCUUUCAGCUGGGAAGAUAGUGACGGUACCGGCAGAAGAAGCCCCGGCUAACUCCGUG